AUAUUAUUCAAAGCCAAUUCAAACCCUACUGCAGAUUAUAUAUCUCUAUAUAGACGCAGCCGGCUCUCGUAAACCCUACCAAGAACACUACUGCCAGGACCCUUAGCAGCCUCCGGGAGAGAGAGAGAGAGAGAGGAAGGAAGCAGCGAUUGACGGCGAUCGCGUCCUUCGCCCUGCGGCGUCUAGCGGCAGCGGAGGCGGUCCGGGUGAUGUUCCUCGCGCGAGCAGCCUCGUUGGCCGGUCCGGCCCUCUCCCGGUGCCUUUGCUCAUCACUCGACCUUCACCGUCCGAUCGCGCGCCUCCUACCGCCUGUUUACGAGCCCUCACGUGGCUUCGCGCGGGGCCGGGAGGCCAUCCCGAGCGACUUCGAGGAAGAGGAUUCGGACGACGAGGAGGACCUGGACCAUCUCGACGAGGCCUUUGACGGCGAGAACGAUAUCGAUGAGGAUUGGAGCGAGUUCGACGGCAACGAUUCGAGGGAAGAGUCCGAUUGAUUCACGAGUUGAUGGUGUGGUCUCCGGAAAAAACGGUAGGAAUCAUGGCUUUCUCUGUGCAGUUAUUGAUCACAAAAGGGCAAAAGGAGACUCUUUUACGGUGAUUGAUCGAUAAAUCGAUUUCAUUUUUCGGUAGAUGAAUUGAUAUCUCUGUUUGCACUUACUAAACUAUUGGUUCUUUAGCUGAUGGUUUCCCUCUGCUGUCAGUCUUCCAAAUCUUUUCUCACAAGGUAAUGGUGAGCAAUCGAUCUCUGCAACCACCGAUCACCCAAUUUUUCACAAAUGCCUUCAAAUUUGAAAGGAAAUAAAAUAAAAACAUAUAAGGAUUUUAGCACAUAUCGGAACAAUGAAACAUACAUGUACCGUGAUACAAUAUAAACUUUACAUAAUAGGUUUCAAGUAUAUAAAUAAUAUAAAAAUAAAAGUAUAUAAGAAUUUAAAGCAUUAAUAUAAAGUCCAAUUGAAUAAAAAAUACUAGAUGAAAUCAAUUUUCAAGGAAAUGAAACAAGAAUAAGAAUAAGCGAAAUCGAUCAAAGCUCGAUUCUGAUAAAAUUUAAGGCACAUUGUAUAAAUUAUUUGAAUAACCAAUUAUAUUCCAAAUUACUUAAGAAUGAUAUCAUUUGAAAGAUAUUUCAAUCUACUUAUAGAUAAAAUAAGUUUCAUAUGAAUCAAAGUUUUUAAUAGAAAGUUACAAAUAAUUUGAUAAGCAAAGAUUAAUCUUUAUUUUGUAGAAUUCAUAGGUUCAGAUUCAAUAGAAAAUUAAAUAGGAAUUGGUAUUCUAAAUCUUUUAAUCUAGAUAUCAAAAGAAGGAUAUAUAAGUCUAGUUUCAGUUUUACAUAAAUAAGAGUUUCCAAUAAGGACUUCUAAUCAGUUUAAUAUCUUUUCCAAAUCUAUCUUAAACAUCACAAGGUGGUUCUUCUCCUUCCCAAAAAACAUAGAGUGGGCUACCUCCUAGCCAAUCAAAAUAUUAUUAUAGAUGCUACAGCUUGAGAGGAAAGCUGACUGCUCAAUAAAAAUGUGAUCAUUCAAAAGGAAUUUAAUAGGAGGAACUUAACAAGAAUACGAUGAUAAUUGACACUACAAAAUGAAAUAGGAUAAAAAUCUAUGACACAUUUAUGAUUAGAUUUCUUUUAAAUGAAAACAAGGAAAGUCUUAACCUAUUCCUCGGGUAAGAUCGAAGUAUGAUAAAAACUAGCAAUGAUAAAAAAUAAGUGAUCCCCCGUAGUCUCCUAAUGAUGUUGGUAGAACUCCAUUAUAUACCCAUAUGGACCGAGGCUUUUUCCAAAGCUCAAGGACCUAACAGAAUCCUAUAUCUCCUACUUACUAAAAUGACAAAUAGUAUUAUCACUUUGAACAUCCAAAAUACUCAUUGCACCCAUCUCCCUGAUAAAAAAAUCAUCAACAACAGCUCUACCAUCACUCCACAAGAAUCAUACAAAUCAUUACCUCCUUUCUUAUCCUCCCUACUCAAAAUACAAUUAAAACCCCCAAAAUCUAAUACCAAGGGAGAUAUGAAAAAUCCAUAGAAGAAAGCUCAUUCUAGAAUAAUUUUCAACAAGAUACAUUCAUACUUGCAUAAAUCACCAAAAGAAGCCAAGGUUUCGAUUGAAAAGCCAGCCUGGAUAAGAACAAACAAUGGAGCAAGAAAACCUGGGUGUGCAAGUGGCUGGAAUCCCAAAUCAAAAUAGUUCCACCGGAAGCUCCUACGAUCGAUUGUACAUUGUACUUCCAAUGCCUCCCAAAACUCACAAUAACUCUCUUCAAAAGAAGCAAGGAAGUGUUUCUUUUCAUCGAUUAAUCUCCUAAGAUAAAUCAUAUACACAACCCUACGAACCAAACUCCUAUAGUUCCAACCAAUAAUUAUCAUCUAAGUUGAAUAACAAUAGGAAAGAAAAAUCACACACCUCUCUCGGUCCAUGUGCACCGUCGAUGUAUCACCCUCCAACUAAGGUCAGGCUCAUAUGUUUUGAGGUUUCUUUUGGAGUGCUUAGGAAUAAGACCUUAUUUGGGCAUUGGCCACAGUCAUACAUGUCACAAUCUUUGUGAAAGCAGAGGAGGUCAAGGUAGCAAGCGAGGUCGCCUUGUCAUUGUUCUGGUUCUCAGGCAAAUGAAGUGCAAAUGAGGGGAGGGUUCCCCCAUCUCCCAAAGAAUUCAUAUAUAUAUAUAUAUAUAUAUGAAUUCUUAGAGAAAACUCAUUUUUAAGAAAAAAAAUCCCAGUUAGUGCCCCAAUUUUCAAAAAUUUCAGCUAAAUGUAUUUUUUUUUCAAAAUGAUAAUAUUACACCUGUCGAUCACCACCUUCCCCAAUACCAUCGCCCUCACUGGACUUGUCCAUGCGUGUCUCGCCUUUAUCGUUCUCACUAGUGACAUAAGCAACCGAUAACCUCUGUCGCCCUAACUUAUCUCCCCUAUACUCUAUCAGACCCACCCCUACGUGUCUCGCCCUCAUCAUCCUUGGCAUAGACAACAAACGAUGGAGAUACAUGAAUGAUAUGUGAGAUAAAUUUUGGCUAUGUUAAUAGAUCAUAUGUUAAUUCUACCGGUUCGAGGAGAUUCCUGUAACAAUAUCAACCUUGCGGAUUUAACUAUUUGUUGUUCUUUUGUUGCUCGUGCAUUUUUUGUUAUUCUUAGGAUUUAUACCCAUUAUGGUCAUGUGAAAUAAUUCUAGCAUAGUUACAUUGCUCUGGCAUUGGAACAGAGGUUAAUAAUUUAGUUAUCAGUUAGUUGUCAGAUUAGUAUCUUUUUACAAGAAAUCUUUACCCGGUAGCAAUGCUACUGUAGCUGUAAGUUGGUCAUUACCACAAAGGUGCUUGUGUUCUUAAUGUGCAUGCUUUAUGGAUCAAAUUCACUUGUGUCAGCAUAUUAUUAUUUUGAGUGUUUUUCCUCUCCCCAGAGAAUGACCUCGUGAUGAUGACAGAGGGUUUGAAUCAACUUUAAUGUCGAGCUCUGCCUCCGAUAUGAAGAAAUGGUGAACAUGAACCAACAUGAAAAGAUAAAAAGGUUUUGUUACACCAUAGAGGAUUUAAUGCUGAUCCUAUUUGAAUUUUUUAUGUCAUGUGUCUUUAAAUUCUAUCUAAUAGCAAUCAUGAUAGUGAGUGCCAAAUUAAAAAAGAGGAAACAAAUGUAGUUAGAUAAGGGAUUUGGAGGUUAUCUCACGUUCACUAACUCGGGUUCAUGUUCAAAGCUUCUCACUAGACAUUUAUUUGAAUAUUAUCAAAGAGAACAGAGAGUGACAGACACCCCCUUCCCUUCGAGGAGGCUAAGUGAAAGGUUAUAGGCAGAGUUGGUUUAGAAGCAAGCUUCAAGAGAACGAAGCUGUGUUCGCAAGUGGAACGAGUUCAAGAACGAUAACUCUACAAGAUGAGCUUUGGAGUUCAAGAACGACAACUCUUACAAGAACGAAGCUUUGUGAUAACGAAGUACAAACAAGUAAAUCUUGCAAUCGCAUGCACGUAGCAUUACCUAAAUAUAUAUAUGACUUUGUGGUGCAAAAUCCACAAACCUAAACAUCAUGAAAUCAUGAGAAAAUAACUAAUACUGGACUGCCCUAACAAAAUUACAGCCUCCAUUUAGUUAAUAGCACCAAAGUGGCGGCUCAAAAGAUAUCUUCUUUGGCACAACCAAGGCAAAUAUUGCUCAUUACAGAAAACCAGGAGUUUAGCCAUGCCAUAUGCUCAUGUUUGUUGGAGAAAGAACUCUGCCGGAUGCUCGUAGCACCGGUGAUGUCUCGAGUUACAAACUAUGAACAUAAAUCAUGAAAGAAAACCUCUGUUGCCUUAUUGAAUAUGCUGCUUAUGCCACAUUUUCUAUCUUCAGGAUCCAAACAAAGAGGGAAGAUGAAGGGCCAGCAGUGGAGUGCAUCAGGGAAACAUUAACACGGCAACAGAAGUUUGUGCAUAGACACCAGGAUUCAUGCUUUGCACACACUUGGUUACUUGCCAAAGAAAUGCCCACCAAUGUUCACAAAAGCAAACAGACAAUGGCCAUCGUGCACAAGAAUGAUGAUCAAACAUCGAGGUAAUAAUAAGAUCCUGCAGCUUUCUGUUCUCGGUCUUUGGUAGAGUCCAACUUGUUUAUCCUGGGCCUGUAAUUAGUUGGAUCUCGUCUGAAAGUGAUAUCAAGAUGCUGCAAAGAAGACAAACACAACUUCUUCAGCAAAAGGGAACAAGAUUAAGGGAGAGAAUCAAAGAAAUACUACUGACAUCGAAAAGCAUGUUCUAGAAUAGCACAAUUUAUUUAGCAAGAGAGCAGUUAAGUAUUACUAGUCGAUUCAAUUUAAAUGAGUAACCAUAACUUUGACAAUAAUGAAUCAGCAGUAAGUCGAGAAUGAUGCAAUAUGACAAUCAUACGGAAGAAAGAACAACUUUGUCGAUGUUCUUGUUUGAUCCCUCCAUCGUACAGUCUUAUAUUUAUCUUACAACACCAUGCAUGGAGUACAAAAAAAACAACAAGAAAGUCGUAAAGCCCCACCACCGUGCAUGGAGUGUAUUAAGCUAAUUAUCUUUCAUCUCUGUAAAUUGAUUUUUUCUUUCCAACUUCAAGAACAGCGUACAUAAAUAUGCUCUCAGCAAACGUAGCUCAACUGUGUUUCCACUUUCCAUGCAUCAUCAGUGAACCAAUGCCUCCCAGAACCACAUCUUAUUUAUGAAACUCCCCCUUGGUUGCGCCUCUAUCUUAGUCUUUUUUUAAUAUUUGCCACAUAAAUAAUAACUUCAAUUGCUCCAGCUGCAGUCUCAUCCUAGAAAAUGUGGAGCUCUUCUUUAUUUAACCUAGAUAUGUUGAAGACAACCAUAUGAAAUUGAGAUUUUACAAAAAUGAUUCAAAGAAAAAUGGAAUCUGGAUAGAAAACACUAAUCCCAUUCCAUGCCAAUUUUGCUAGUCCUUGGCAUCUCUUAGUGGAAUUUGUGAAGCACAGGGAUAAGACGGCCUUCAACAACCACUAACUUUAACAUUCAAGCUAAUUGGAGCCAAACCCUGGCUAAGAGCCUCAAAUCACAAAAAUCAAAUCAAUAAAUCAUACAAUCCUAACCAAUGUUUGACCCAAAGAUUAAAAUUUUGUACCGUACUGGUGUACCGAACUUUGCUCGGUACAAUACGAUACAGUGUACCAAGAGAUAUGCCGGGGCAUACCGAAUGGUACAACUAGAAAAAAUAUAUAUAAGAAUCAAUUUUAGUAUCGAGCGAUACUAUAUAUAUAUAUAUGUAUGUAUAUAUACAUGUACAUACAUGUAUAUAUAUAUAUAUAUAUAUAUAUAUAUAUAUAUAUAAGCCUUCGAUGGCAUUAUUCCACCCUAUCCCCAUCCUAUGUGCAUUGACGAAGACAAUCCAUCUAAGUCAUGAGAAGAGAGUGCCUGAAUGUGAAAUUAGGCAUACAGGAUCACUAAAAAAAGAUAUAAAAUAUAUAUUUUAAUAUAAAAAAUAUAAAAAUAAAAAAUCAAUAUAUAAAGAUAUACAAAGAUAAAGAUACGAUGUACUGAAUGAUCGCCUCGUCCUUCUUCUCCUCAUCAUCUCGUCUACGGCCUUCAAUGUCAAGGAGGUGGGGAGAAGAAAGACGACAUCAACAUCGGAAGGUUCUUCGUGCGGCGGCAGUGGACGAAGCAGGUUGUUCGGAGAUGAAGAAAGUCGGGGUCUUCGCCGCCUUCCUUGCGGCCGCCUCUUCCGCUACUCUCGCCGCCGCCUCCCUUGAUCCCCAUGCCUCCAGCUCCCCCUCCAAAGAGGUACAACUCUCCUCGCUAUUAGCUCCUGGAUCGGGAUCGUCGAGGGAGGGCGAUACCAAAUCGAGAUCGAGAAAGGGCGUCAAAGACAAGUUCGCUCCAAGGUACGACGGGCUUAGGUUCAUCGAGACGAUGGUGACAACGCAUUGGUGACUCCGCGGUACUCUUUCUCGACGCUUCUCCCUCUUCUUCCUCGCCUCGCCUCGCCUCGCCGUAGCCAGGCCGAUACCACCCGAAAGCGGGCGGUCCACGUGCCGAUCAGCUAGAGGACCAGUACGUACCGCCCGUACUGGGCGGUAUGAAACAAUAUUAAAAACCCUGGUUUGACGUAUCCCCCGAAAUCGUAUAAUCCAAAUAAAUCGCAUAAAACAUAUAAUCCUAUCGGUCUACUAGCUGUUGCGACAACCAGCCUAUUCCAGGCGAUCAAGUUUUGACAAGUAUAGGUGAUGUAUUGGCUGAUACAAUCAAAACUCAUGUUGUAUCAACUGAUGCAGGUCAUACGAUCGUAAUUUUGAACAAUACCAACCCAAAUCAAGUCAAGUUUGACACACACAAUCAAAUUGGCCAUUUGGGACUUUUUUGGGGAUCUAAAUUGACCUAUCCCCACUCUCUCAGUCACUCUCGUUCUCACUCUUGUUCACAUCCUUUCUCACACUCUCAUUUGUUAUUAAAGUUCCUAAUCAACGAUUAGUGGUAAUCAAACUAUUGAUUUGGAUAAAAGAGGGAUUGGAACUCGAGAUCUAGUGGAAUUUCUCUCCAAUUUAAAGGCAUCCUUUCUAGGUUUUAUUUAUCACUUUAUAUAAUUGGAGCCGUAUUAAUGCACAUUUACAAAGGUUAAACAUGAUUAAGAUCAUUCUCGUGUUAGUCCGAAUUAGGUCUAUUGUCUUCCAUUUAGGCCCAAAUUGGGAACAUUUGUUACGGUCAGUAACUGUUCAGCCGUGGCCCUGAGGUCGUCGCGGCUCGGUUCGGGUCCGGAAGGUGGUGAUCAAAGGAGGGGGAGUCUCCUCGAGCCCGCUGAGUCUCCAAAGGCGGUGAACUCCGAAGGCUUCGCACCUGCACCAAGGCCGGGUCGGGAUGCUCGACCCGACCCCUCCGACGAUUAAGUUAGCGAAAGAUGCGGAGGGGGUUUUAGGAGGAGAAACCUCCGAGCAGUAUUGGGUAUGUUGGGAGAGUCCCUUUUUGCUUAGGACUUAGGGGUAUUUAUAGAGGAGGUUAGCAUUACCUGAUUUGACCGCCUGCUGGGGUGAGGGGGUACCUCUGAUGGCGUCUGACGCGGCUGCUGGGGUCGCGUGGUGGAGCGGUUCGUAGCAGGGUAUGGGCGAGGGGCAGGUCAUUGUCCGGCCUUGUCGUGGUCAACCAUGCGGGGUCGGAGGUCGCCUCUCAACAGUGGGAGUUGUCAGGGCGGGUCUAGUUAGCGUUAUUGCUUUGGCCGGGGGCUGUCGUCACGGUGCGUCGUCUGGCCAUUAUUUUCCCUAUCAUAUUCCCCCCCCCGAAAAGGAGCCAUGCGUCGGUGGGGAAGGGAGCUCGAGGCAUGGCUGCGUCUCUUGGCAUCGAGGAGGUCCCAGGCGGCAGGCGGUGCAGAUCGUUUCACCUUGAUGGGGUUUUCGGGUGUGCCCACUGUGCUGGUGUGUCUCGAGCGUUGUGCGGCUGAGGAGCGGGUUGACCGCGCUGGGGCGCCUCGGGCAUUAAGCGACCGAGGGGGCCUCGGGCAUUACGCGACCGAGGAGGAAGGCCCAGGCGGGCUGGCCGCGCUGGGGCAGCCUCGGGCAUUAAGCGACCGAGGAGGCCUCGGGCAUUAAGCGACCGAGGAGGCCUCGGGCAUUACGCGACCGAGGGGGGCUCGGGCAUUACGCGGCCGAGGAGGUUGCCUCGGGCAUUGCGCGACCGAGGAGGAAGGCCCAGGCGGGCUGGCCGCGCUGGGGCGCCUCGGGCAUUAAGCGACCGAGGGGGCCUCGGGCAUUACGCGACCGAGGGGGCCUCGGGCAUUACGCGGCCGAGGAGGUUGCCUCGGGCAUUGCGCGACCGAGGAGGAAGACCCAGGCGGGCUGCGCCGGGUUUUUCUCUGGGGAAGGUCAAGGGGCCCGUUCCCUUUCGGCGUCCGCCGGGUUUCGAGCCUGAUAUGAUUAGGGCUAAGUGCGAUUAAUGCAUUUAAGUUUGUCUCGAUUACCGUCCCCGAGGCUGGUAUGAUGAGUGCCUUUGCCCGCGCUGCGCCGCAGCCUUCUGCCAUGUCGGACCGCAUUUAUUGCGAGGAGGCGCCUUUUUCCCCCCUGCAGUGGACUUCGGGAGAUGAGGGGUCGCCGCCUUCGGAUGCGGCCGGCUUAUAAGUAGCGUGAGGCAGGCUGUAAGGGUAAAAUCUUUUCCUCCGAACGCGUCGUACUGCCUUGUGUCUCCUCGCCCUGUCCGUGCCGACCGUCCUUCCCCUCCUUGCCGAAGGUCAGUAAGAAUGGCGUCCUCUUCUUCCUGCUCAUCUUCUUCUUCAUCAAAAGCCGGCGGGGCGGCGGCUUCGUCGGAUCCUGCGUCAUCGUCGGACGGGAAGGCGAUCAAGGCGCUUGAGGCCUUGAUGUGGCCCCACGAUCAUGACUCCACCGUGAGCGAGUCAGCGCUGAGUCUCCUCCGGGAUCGCUAUGGCGUCCCGGAGGAGUUUGUCCUUCAAGCUCCUGAGCCUGGCCAACGUGCAUACGAUCCAAUCCCUAGGGGUUUUGCCCUUACCCUUGAUGCUUUCGAAGCCGGGCUACGCCUCCCUCUGCACCCUGUCAUAGUUUCCUGCCUUUCCUGGUGGCGCAUCUCCCCUUCUCAAAUGGCGCCGAACUCGUGGCGCUAUCUGGCAGCGUUUUUAGGCGAGUGCCAUUACGCCGACAUACCCCCAACUCGUGCCCUCUUCCUAUCCUGCUUUCGUCUUUCCAAGGGGUCGGGGGGUUACUAUCUGUCAGCCCGAGCGGGUUUCAGAGUGAGCGGGGCCCCUUCUAGUAACAAGGGGUGGAAGGAGCGCUUCUUUUUUUUUAGUCGCUCGGAAGACUGGGGGUUCGGCGUCCGUUGGGUGGCGCGUGUGAUAGACAACACCACCCCGGUUUUGGAUGACGAUGAGCGCCUAGGGCUUCAACGGCUCAGAGAAAUUCUCCCAUCCUCCCGAGCCAUCCGGAGCAUGUCUGAGCGAUGGUUAGUGGAGGCGGGACUUAGCCCGGCACCUCUAGGUACGCUCCGAGGAGCGGUUCCCUUGGGGGUUUCCUUUCCUUAUCUUUGCGUGUUGUCGCUUGACUGACAGUCAUUCUAAUCCUUCUCGACAGACAUGGUGCGUCUCGAGGCUUUGCGUGGGGGGAAGACUGCUGCUGCGUCGGGCCGUUCGCCCUCCGUCACAAGGUGGGCUCGAGGGAGGCUCCCGUGGACGUCGAGGCGGGCCGGUCUCGGAAGAGGGUGCGGGCGCCGUCAAGCGGGGGUCUCGAGGUGGUUGCCGCUCCGGCAACGGGAGCCGCGGUGGCGCCGGCAAUGGAGGGUGCCGCUGGAAGCCUCGGAGAGGGCGCGGCCGGUCCGAGCGGGGGCGCGGCGGUGGAGGCGGCUCGCCAACCUUCCGUCCGCGAGCUUCUCUGCCUUCCGCUAAGGGAGGAUGAGCCGUACCUGGUGCGGGAGGUGGGUGCUCUCCCCCGCGGCAUGGCCACCGAUCCUCUGGUGGCCCGGUGGGAUGGCCUUACCCGGGGCACCAGGGUGUGGGCCGACGGAGAUAUCGCGGGCAGGUUCAUCCGUGGCGGGCUUCAUCCUGACAUGGCCCGGGACCUAUACUCCCUGCCUUCCGACGCUCUGCUCAGCAAGGCAGCAAAGUCCUUGUUAUGGGUAAGCGUCCUUUCGCCCCUGGGUUUGGCUGUUUUUGGAAGGGCUUAAUUCUAACUUUGACCUCGUCCUUCCCUCAGGGCAAUCACUAUGCUGCCGCUUUGAUGGACCGCGUUCGAGACGCGGGACAAGUCAUCGCUGCCCUGAGCUGCCGCAAUGUCGAGCUCCGGCGGCAAGCGGAUGAGGCCCGGGCCAGGGCCGGCCCCGAGGCAGUGGCCGCGGCUGAGCAGCGUGCCUUGGGCUUGGAGGCCGAGGUGGCGUGGCUGACUUCGGAGCUCCAGGCGUCCACCGNNNNNNNNNNNNNNNNNNNNNNNNNNNNNNNNNNNNNNNNNNNNNNNNNNNNNNNNNNNNNNNNNNNNNNNNNNNNNNNNNNNNNNNNNNNNNNNNNNNNNNNNNNNNNNNNNNNNNNNNNNNNNNNNNNNNNNNNNNNNNNNNNNNNNNNNNNNNNNNNNNNNNNNNNNNNNNNNNNNNNNNNNNNNNNNNNNNNNNNNNNNNNNNNNNNNNNNNNNNNNNNNNNNNNNNNNNNNNNNNNNNNNNNNNNNNNNNNNNNNNNNNNNNNNNNNNNNNNNNNNNNNNNNNNNNNNNNNNNNNNNNNNNNNNNNNNNNNNNNNNNNNNNNNNNNNNNNNNNNNNNNNNNNNNNNNNNNNNNNNNNNNNNNNNNNNNNNNNNNNNNNNNNNNNNNNNNNNNNNNNNNNNNNNNNNNNNNNNNNNNNNNNNNNNNNNNNNNNNNNNNNNNNNNNNNNNNNNNNNNNNNNNNNNNNNNNNNNNNNNNNNNNNNNNNNNNNNNNNNNNNNNNNNNNNNNNNNNNNNNNNNNNNNNNNNNNNNNGCGACCGAGGGGGCCUCGGGCAUUACGCGACCGAGGGGGCCUCGGGCAUUACGCGGCCGAGGAGGUUGCCUCGGGCAUUGCGCGACCGAGGAGGAAGACCCAGGCGGGCUGCGCCGGCUUUUUCUCUGGGGAAGGUCAAGGGGCCCGUUCCCUUUCGGCGUCCGCCGGGUUUCGAGCCUGAUAUGAUUAGGGCUAAGUGUGAUUAAUGCAUUUAAGUUCGUCUCGAUUACCGUCCCCGAGGCUGGUAUGAUGAGUGCCUUUGCCCGCGCUGCGUCGCAGCCUUCUGCCAUGUCAGACCGUAUUUAUUGCGAGGAGGCGCCUUUUUCCCCCCUGCAGCGGACUCCGGGAGAUGAGUGGUCGCCGCCUUCGGAUGCGGCCGGCUUAUAAGUAGCGUGAGGCAAGCUGUAAGGGGAACAUCUUUUCCUCCGAGCGCGUCGUACUGCCUUGUGUCUCCUCGCCCUGUCCGUGCCGACCGUCCUUCCCCUCCUUGCCGAAGGUCAGUAAGAAUGGCGUCCUCUUCUUCCUGCUCAUCUUCUUCUUCAUCAAAAGCCGGCGGGGCGGUGGCUUCGUCGGAUCCUGCGUCGUCGUCGGACGAGAAGGCGAUCAAGGCGCUUGAGGCCUUGAUGUGGCCCCACGAUCAUGACUCCACCGUGAGCGAGUCAGCGCUGAGUCUCCUCCGGGAUCGCUAUGGCGUCCCGGAGGAGUUUGUCCUUCAAGCUCCUGAGCCUGGCCAACGUGCAUACGACCUAAUCCCUAGGGGUUUUGCCCUUACCCUUGAUGCUUUCGAAGCCGGGCUACGCCUCCCUCUGCACCCUGUCAUAGUUUCCUGCCUUUCCUGGUGGCGCAUCUCCCCUUCUCAAAUGGCGCCGAACUCGUGGCGCUAUCUGGCGGCGUUUUUAGGCGAGUGCCAUUACGCCGACAUACCCCCGACUCGUGCCCUCUUCCUAUCCUGCUUCCGUCUUUCCAAGGGGUCGGGGGGUUACUAUCUGUCAGCCCGAGCGGGUUUCAGAGUGAGCGGGGCCCCUUCUAGUAACAAGGGGUGGAAGGAGCGCUUCUUUUUUGUUAGUUGCUCGGAAGACUGGGGGUUCGGCGUCCGUUGGGUGGCGCGUGUGAUAGACAACACUACCUCGGUUUUGGAUGACGAUGAGCGCCUAGGGCUUCAUCGGCUCAGAGAAAUUCUCCCAUCCUCCCGAGCCAUCCGGAGCAUGUCUGAGCGGUGGUUAGUGGAGGCGGGACUUAGCCCGACACCUCUAGGUACGCUCCGAGGAGCGGUUCCCUUGGGGGGUUUCCUUUCCUUAUCUUUGCGUGUUGUCGCUUGACUGACAGUCAUUCUAAUCCUUCUCGACAGACAUGGUGCGUCUCGAGGCUUUGCGUGGGGGGAAGACUGCUGCUGCGUCGGGCCGUUCGCCCUCCGUCACCAAGGUGGGCUCGAGGGAGGCUCCCGUGGACGUCGAGGCGGGCCGAUCUCGGAAGAGGGCGCGGGCGCCGUCAAGCAGGGGUCUCGAGGUGGUUGCCGCUCCGACAACGGGAGCCGCGGGGGCGCCGGCAAUGGAGGGUGCCGCUGGAAGUCUCGGAGAGGCGCAGCCGGUCCGAGCGGGGGCGCGGCGGUGGAGGCGGCUCGCCAAGCGACUCGCGGAGUUGCAGACGCAGCUGGAGGCGUCCGAGGCACGCAACGCGGAGUCGCAGGCUCACCUGAGGGCGGCAAUGGUGGAGUCCCACUCGGCGAGGUCCGACUCCAUCGAACUGAUUCGGCGUCUGGAGGAGGCGCGAGCCGAGGCGUCAUGGGCUACCGAGGCCCUGGAGGCCGAGAUCCGCCAACGGCCGGCAAAGGACAAGAAGCUGGUCGAGGACUACAAGGCUUCCUCGGGCUUUCAGCUAGGCCUUGUCCGGACCGAGCGGGUCUCGUAUGAGUACGGAUAUCGGGUUGCCCUUGCCCGCUUCAAGGCACGCAACCCCGACUCCGAGGUUGUGGAGGAUCCCUUCGGCUCCUUCCCCGAAGACCUGGGCGUCGAUAUGCCAGCCGAUGUUCCUUUUGAUGACAGCCCAGACGUCCCUGAGGAUUGACAUCCUUUGUAUUUUUUUUUUUUUUUUUUUUUGUGUAACACCCCCUUUGCUUUCGAAUGAAUAUGAUAUAUUUUCUUUCUCAAUGGUCUAUGACCGACCGAGUCUUUAUGGAAAGAACUUUUUGAGAUUUUGUGCAUUCCAGGUUCUCGGCAGGGACUGGCCUUCCGUUGUGGCGAGCCGGAAUGCGCCGGUUCCGAUGACUUCGGUCACCCGAUAGGGGCCUUCCCAGCUGGGGGCUAGCUUGCCUCUUUGUCGGGUCGGGUCACUGACCUCAGUCCGCCGCAGGACCAGGUCGCCCAAUUUGAUAGGUCGAGAUCUUACCUUUCGGUUGUAGACCCUUGCGACCGCCCUCUUGUAGGAGAGGGCUCUUACAUGUGCGUCUGCACGUUGUUCUUCCAGUAAGUCAAGGGCGGCUCGGAGUCCUUCAUCCGAGGUUUCCUCGUCGUAGCCUUUCGUCCUGAGGGUGGCAAUGGCUAUCUCGGGGGGAAGUACCGCCUCGGUUCCGAAUGCAAGGCUGUACGGAGAUUCUCCAGUUGCUGUUUUUGGGGUGGUGCGCAGCGCCCAUAGUACACUCGGGAGCUCGUCCGUCCAGGUCGUCCGAGCCGCGGAUACUCUUCUCUUGAGCCCGUCCAGGAUGGACCGGUUGGUCACUUCCGUCAGCCCGUUCGUUUGGGGGUGAGCGACCGAACUGUACUUCAGUUGGACUCCGUGUCUUGCGCAGAACUCCCGAAAUCUCUGACUGGAGAACUGGGGCCCAUUAUCCGUAAUGAUGGUUUUGGGCAGGCCGAAACGGGUGAUCAAGUUUUUCCAGACGAACUUCUCUACUUGCUGCGCCGUGAUUUUUGCCAGUGGUUCGGCCUCGAUCCACUUCGUGAAGUAAUCCACGUCGACGAUGAGGUAUCUCCGCUGUCCUGCGGCUAAGGGAAAGGGCCCGAGGAUGUCUAACCCCCAUUGCGCAAACGGCCAAGCGCAGUCGAUAGGGGCUAGCGGGACUGUCGGGAGCCGAGGUGUGCGGGCGUGCUCUUGGCAUGAGAUACACCGCUGCACGUGUGUUCUCGCAUCCCGGCGCAUGGUCGGCCAGUAGUAGCCUUGGCGGAGUAUUUUAUGCGCUAAGGUCCGCCCACCGAUGUGUUCUCCGCAGGCACCCUCAUGUAUCUCUGCCAGGACGGUUUGCGCCUCGUCGGGCUCCAAGCAUCGCAGGAGGGGGUACGAGAAGGAUCGCUUGUAGAGCCGCCCGCCCGCCUCGAUAUACCACGCGUGCGUGCGAAGCAGGCGCCGGGCUGUUGCUUUGUCGGGCGGAAGAAUUCCGUCCCGUUUGUAGCGCAGCAGUUCUUGUACCCAGGAGGACGCGCUGCCGGUAGCUGCGGUCGCGAUUUCAAAGGCACGGGCGGAUAGCUCCUCGACCUCCGGCCCGACUUCGGGGGCAGGUUUCGAGGCCAGCUUAGCCAGCGCGUCAGCGCGCUCGUUCUCCGCCCUUGGGACAUUAGAUAAUGUAAAAUGAUGGAACUUCGUGGUUAAGUUCCUCACCUGUGCAAGGUAUCUUGGCAUGGUCGGGUCGCGAGCCUCAUAUCCUCCACUGAGUUGCUCGGCCACCAGUUGGGAAUCUGUGUGGACACGGAGGGAGUCCACCUGCAUCUCGAGGGCUAACCUGAGUCCCGCCAGGAGUGCUUCGUACUCCGCUUCGUUAUUAGUGGCGCGGAACCCGAAGCGGAGGGAACGCUCGAAUGUCCGCCCGUCGGGGGCUCGGAGCACCAACCCUGCGCCUGCACCCUUUGAGUUGGCCGAUCCGUCGACGUGCAGGACCCAGGCCUCGGGAGGUUGUCCGAGGCUCCCGCUCUCGUCUUGGGUUAAUUCCGCGAUGAAGUCGGCGACGGACUGGGCUUUGAUGGCCGUCCGGGGCACGUACUGAAUGUCAUGUUCGCCGAGCUCUACUGCCCAUUUGAGAAGGCGUCCUGCCACAUCAAAUUUAGACAGGACCAACCGAAGUGGUUGGUCCGUAACUACCUCCACGGGGUGAGCCUGGAAAUAGGGGCGCAGUUUCCGGGGGGACAGCACAAGGGCGAGCGCCAGCUUCUCGAUCGGAGGGUAUCGUUCCUCCGGGCCGCUGAGGACGUGGCUUGUGUAGUAGACCGGGAGUUGGCCGUUGGAGCUUUCUUUAACCAGGACGGAGCUUACUGCGUGCGGGGAAGCGGCCAGAUAGAUGCUCAGUUUUUCGCCGGGAGUGACCGAGGUGAGCCGCGGGAGGUUGGCCAGGUGUCGUUUUACUUGCUGGAGGGCUUCCUCGCAUUCUGUCGUCCAUUGGAAGCCCUUCGGGUUUUGCAGUGCCUUGAAGAAGGGGAAACAGCGAUCUCCUGACCGAGCGAGGAAUCGGGACAUGGCGACGAGUUUCCCAUUGAGGCGCUGCAAGUCCUUGGUAGUCCGGGGCGAUUGCAUGUUGAUGAUUGCCUGGAGCUUCUCUGGGUCGGCGUCGAUCCCUCUUUCAUGCACGAUGAAUCCGAGGAAUUUUCCUGAUGUGACGCCGAAGGCGCAUUUCGCGGGGUUGAGCCGCAUGCCGACCUGGCGGAGUGUAGCGAAAGCUUCGGCCAAAUCAGCCAAGUGAGUCCCGGCUUCUUAGCUCUUUACGAUCAUGUCGUCGACGUACACCUCCAUGUUGCGGCCGAUCUGGCGGGCGAAUAUCCUGUUUACUGCCCUUUAAUAUGUCGCGCCGGCAUUUUUCAGUCCGAAGGGCAUGACCUUGUAAAAGUAGACCCCUUGAUUGGUGAUGAAGGCCGUGUGUUCUUGAUCUUCAGGUGCCAUCCCGAUCUGGUUAUAGCCCGAGAAGGCGUCCAUAAAUGACAGGCGAGUGUGGCCUACCGUGGCGUCAACCAGCUGGUCGACCCUUGGUAGGGGAUAGCAGUCCUUCGGGCAUGCCUUGUUAAGGCUUGUGUAGUCAACGCACAUCCUCCAGCUUCCAUUUGCUUUUUUGACAAGAACUACGUUGGACAGCCAUUGCAGGUAUCCGGCUUCUUUUAUGAAGCCUGCCUUCAAGAGGCGAGUUACUUCUUCUCGCACGGCUGUCUGCCGUUCUGGGGCGUGCCGCCUUAGCUUUUGUUUUACCGGACGAGCGUCGGCGGAGAUACUGAGGCGAUGUAGGGCGACCCCUGGGUCGACGCCUGGCAUGUCAGAGGGUGACCAAGCGAAGACAUCAGCGUUUUCUUGUAGGAGGCCGACGAGUUGUUCUCGUUCGUGCUCGGGCAGCUCUGACCCGACCCUAAUCGCCCGUUCCGGGCGUCCUUCCUGUAGUGACACAGCGACGGUGGUUCCCUUCGGCUCGGCAUGGGGAGCCGACCUUUGCAUUUCUCGGGGGUCCGUCAACGGUGGUUCGACCCUGGGCUUCUUAGGUAGCGAGACGGCGGUCAAGUAACAGCGCCGGGAUUCUCGAGGGCUUCCCGUAAUUUCACCGGUCCCUGCGGGGGUCGGGAACUUCACGGUCUGAUAGUAGGUCGAGACGACAGCUCUAACUUUGUUGAGUGUCGGCCGGCCAAGGAUGGCGUUGUAAGCGGCGGGGAGGUCGAUGACCAAGAAGGUGGUCAUCGUUGUCUUCGACUUUGGUGGAACUCCCAGGGUCAGGGGCAAGGUAACCGCCCCCAGCGGCGAGACUGAAUCACCGGUGAAGCCGGUGAGCGCCGAGGACACCGGCUUCAUGCUAUCUCUGGGUAGGCCGAGCUUCCGGUAGGCGUCCAGGUAUAGUAUGUCGGCCGAGCUUCCGGUGUCGACCAUGAUCCUUUGUACCUGCGCGUUAGCGAUCCUGGCUGAUAUCACGAGUGCAUCAUCGUGUUCGGCCUGUUCAUACGCCCUGGCCGGGAAGGUGACACUGGGUCCGGGCGCGUGUCUGGGGGCCUCAGCUGAGGUGGCUCGGGCGUAUGCCUUCUUGCGGGCCAUGGAGUCUCCACCGGACGCGGGGCCGCCUGAUAUCACGUCGAUACGUCGCUCGACGGGCCCUUCCGGGCGGGGAGAAGAUUCUUUGUUCGGGUGGAGAUACUGAUCGAGGUGCCCCCUGCGGAUGAGUUCCUCGAUCUGUCUUUUCAACUCCCGGCAUUGUUCAGUGUCGUGCCCACGUUGCCGGUGGAAGCGGCAGUAUUUUGAUUGAUCUGCCAGCGCCCGGGGGUCACUCAUCGGGUAGGGUUCUUUGAGCAAACCUUUUCCCCUUAUAUGAAGGAAUAUGUCUGUUUGAGAUGAAUUCAAAGCUGGCAGGGGGGGCCUCGGAGCCGUCGGGUCAGAUCUGUCCGACCUGCGCCGAGAUGUUGGUGGCUGUUGCUGUCGAGGCGGCUCCGAUUUGGUCCCCCUGUGUCCCCUGGGUCUCCCGGCCAUCCACGUCUCUGCAGCGACGAAUUGGCUCGCCCGUUGAAGCAUCUCUGGUACAGUUGUGGGGGGUCGCUCUACCAGGGACCAGAAGAACCUGGAGGGUCAUAAGCCUAUCAUGAACGCCUGCAUCAAUAGGGAAGGAUGAGCGUCCGAGAGCCCUCGGAUCUGCGUCGUGAAACGGUCCAAGAAGUGGGAAAGGGACUCAUCUUCCCCUUGGUUGAGUCCGAGGAGGAGCGCCGCGGAUGGCUUCAGACGCGCGUAGGCGAGGAAGUUGAGCUCAAAGUCCCGGGCGAGCUGGUCGAAAGAAGAGACGGUUCCUGCCUUGAGGCUGCCGUACCAUGCGCGGGCCGGCCCCCUCAAAGUUGUCGGGAAUGCCCUGCACAUCAGGGCGUCAGAGGUUCCGUACAGCGCCAUUUGGGCGCGAAACGCGGCUACGUGGUCCGCGGGGUCGGUGGCGCCGUUGUAGGCGUCCAGGGACGGAAGCCGAAAGUGCGGCGGGAUGGCCUGAUCUUGUAUUUCGGGCGCGAAUGGGGAUCCUUGGUACCCUUCCGUUCCGGGCUCUCCUUUCGACCUGCGAACUUCUUGUUGUACCUCAUUCAAGCGUUGGUUGAAAAGAUGCAGCUGCGCCUGCAAGGUGUGGGUUGAGUUCGCGGGUGGCCACUCGGGCUCGGGGCGGCUCGACGUGCCCACGGUCUCCCGGUCACCAAGCCGGGUCGCUUGGUUUCGGGGCGACGGAGGAGGCCCGGGGGGUGGUGCGUGCUCCCGAGGGGCAGGCUCCUGUUGAUGCGAGGACUGGUACGUUUGCGGGGGCGCCGGCUGGGGGAUGAGCGGAACGAUGGCUUGCACCACGCCCGCCAGUGCCCUUACUUGGUGGGCGAGGUCGUGGAAGGCCUCAGGGGAAACUGAUGGGGGGACGACAGUGGCGUCGAGCGGCGACAAGCCCGGGUCAUUGAACAGGCGCCAGUAUUGCUCUGAAGUCGCAGCGAGACGCCCCUCUUGGGGCUCUUCCCGCGGGGGAUGAUCUCCCGGGGUCCCGACCGGGUGCGUCCUCGCAGCUGAGGAAUCGCCGAGGCGGGUUUGUUGACCAGUCGACAUUCCGGGCCCUCCUUCUAGCGCCAAAAUGUUACGGUCAGUAACUGUUCAGCCGUGGCCCUGAGGUCGUCGCGGCUCGGUUCGGGUCCGGAAGGUGGUGGUCAAAGGAGGGGGAGUCUCCUCGAGCCCGCUGAGUCUCCAAAGGCGGUGAACUCCGAAGGCUUCGCACCUGCACCAAGGCCGGGUCAGGAUGCUCGACCCGACCCCUCCGACGAUUAAGUUAGCGAAAGAUGCGGAGGGGGUUUUAGGAGGAGGAGAAACCUCCGAGCAGUAUUGGGUAUGUUGGGAGAGUCCCUUUUUGCUUAGGACUUAGGGGUAUUUAUAGAGGAGGUUAGCAUUACCUGAUUUGACCGCCUGCUGGGGUGAGGGGGUACCUCUGAUGGCGUCUGACGUGGCUGCUGGGGUCGCGUGGUGGAGCGGUUCGUAGCAGGGUAUGGGCGAGGGGCAGGUCAUUGUCCGGCCUUGUCGUGGUCAACCAUGCGAGGUCGGAGGUCGCCUCUCAACAGUGGGAGUUGUCAGGGCGGGUCUAGUUAGCGUUAUUGCUUUGGCCGGGGGCUGUCGUCACGGCGCGUCGUCGGGCCAUUAUUUUCCCUAUCAUUUAGGGUUAUCUACAACCAACCUUAUACAUUUAUCUAUGCCUCAUAUACACUCUAUUUUUAAUUAAAUACUAUAAAAUUACCAUUAAAUUAGGAUAAAAAACCUAAACAAGGAUUUUUUUUGUGAAUUUCUGGCCAUUGUUCAUCCUUUUUUCCGAAAGUCAGUUUGUACCAGCAUAAUGGUAUAUCGGUACCGAUUGAUACAUAACAUACGUCCAUGGACCGAUACCAUGGGUCGGCACAGUAUGGUGGUCCUUGAUCCGAACCAACAUAUCAGGUGACAACUGCCUUGCCAGGUUGGUCAUAGUUAACAGAAAUGUUAAACUUUACAAAUGAUAAUGAGUGCAGGUACAGGGUACACCACUUAUGAUGGUGUUAUAUGGACUGUAGGAUUAACUGAUCCAAUUGAUCAUGGUAGACACUGAACCACAUAGUUCACAUGCUACUUCAGAUAAGAUAUUUUAACCAUGCUGAUUGAUUGAUCAUGUAUCUAAUCAACUUAAUAAAAUUGUGGUAAAAGAACUAUGAACUUGUAUUGUAUUUAGUCUACUGAGUGAAUUGUUAUUUAAACUUCUCAUUUAAAAAAUAUUACAGUAACAAUGUGUAUAGAUUUAUUUCCCUCGGUUUAUAACCACAAAACUAAAUCAUAUUAAUGAGAUCCAGUCACCACCUUGGAAUUCUACAAAUAUUUGGAACACAUAGGAUAAUGAAUGCUGACAAAGACAAGGGUGUUUGGAGCUAUUCCAGUAGCUAUUGUCUGGAUAAAACUUAGUACCAAUGGACAACUUACCAUGACCAAUCAGAAGGGACUAAAUUCACCUCAUGGAACCACAGUGGUUCUGUAUGCUCCCCCAAGAAACAGUUUACUGGAUAUUUCUUCUGCCUGGAUGGUUGAAUUUGGCUGCUUUACAAGAGUUUUAUGAUGAGCCGCCAACAACAGUAUCCACAUAUGCACAAACCCUACUAAUCCCAUAUUCCCAUCCAUUUUGCAAAAUCCAGAACAAGAUCAAAGAGAAUCAAUGACUCUGUAAGGUGAACUCUUUUUUCAUUUGUACAAAAGCAAUGUUGGAAGGGCCAAUGGGUCCGAUGACUACCAGUCUUAACUAUUUACCUUUCAAUUUUUUUAUUCAAAUUAGCACAUAAGUCUUGGGAGCCUGUUAUAAUCAUUGUUGGACUACAGUGAAUCAUAACAUUUCCGUCAAAAGGAAAAAACCAGUUCAGCUUAGCAAAAAGAAAGAUCAGAUAUUAUGAACCAUGGCAUUCAAAAUCAUCUGUUCGACCAGUAACUCAUUCAAAAAAGAGCUGUAACAUUUCCAAAAUAUCUACUUUUGCAAUUUCAAAGGCAGUCAGGAAUUCUAAACUUUGAUUCCAAACAUUUUUGCAUAAUUAGUAAUUAUUGUACAGAAAGUAAUUCCAAAGCUUAAAGAAAUAUUAUAUUGGUAAUCAAAUGGAUCCACAUGAUAUUUACUACCUAAUGUGAUAUCCAAUGUCAUGCAAAUCUAACAUGCAUUCCUAUUUGGAUGCACCUUCCAUUAGGGAUCAGACUAUGACUGCAAACAAGGUAAAGUCCUGCAGUCAUCAUGUUUUACAAUUUUGCCUCUUUUUAGCUCCUAAUUAUCAUCACACUCCCACAAAAUCAUACUUCCAUCUUAUUCAUCUACGAAUUUUUUUCUUCAAACUCCUAAUACAUAUCUCAAUAUCACUACAUGUGAUGAUAAACUUUUUCCAAACAAAAGACCAGGCUUCCACCAAAAGUCCUGGUCUACCAAGUUUGAUGAUAGACCACUACAUAUAAAAGAUACCUAAAUAAUAAAAAAGUCAGUAGAAAUUCAAAGGAAAAUGAACCACUAAACUGCAUCAGAACCAAGAACAUCAAGAUGACAUAUACAUAUAUAUAAGUUCUCUUUUCUUGAGGAUAAAGCAUCAGAUAAAAUGAUUGCUACUUACAGAUAAGAACAGGUUCAUUCCGGAUACCAAAGACUGAGGUGCAUUUGCAGUGCAAUCUAUAGAGGGCAUUCCCUCAUAUACAAUGACCUUAUCAGCCAGGUAGGUUGCCAUGAUGAAAUCAUGCUCAACAACGAAGGCAGUUUUCUUGGCAUGAAGGAUAAAUCUCUUUAUCACCUUUGAGGCGACAAUACGCUGCUCCGAAUCAAGAUAAGCACUUGGUUCAUCUAUCAGAUAAAUAUCUGCUGGCUGAACAAGUAACAUGAAUCAGCAUAACAAGUUCACAUAAAAAAUGCAAAAAAACUCAUUGCCAAAAGCAUUCAAAAAAAUUAAGGGACAUGCAAGUUAGCAGGUAAGAUUUUCCACAAAUCAGCAGAUGGCAACUUCUAAUGAAAGAUCAUUUGCAGCUCAACAAAAAUCUAAAGAAAGUCUGGAUUGAGCCAUUAUGAGUCUGAAAUGCAUCUAUCUGCUUACAGAAUAAGCAACAGUUGAAGAAUACAGACCAAAAUGAGAUAAAUCAACAAAACAAUUUUCAUUACAGCCAGAUGAGAUGGAAAAUAAAUAAAUAAAUUAUUAUGUAAAGAACAAUCCAAUGAACACUACAGUGCAAUAACUGUGGCUUCAUGGAUUGUUAUGCGAGAUCAUUUACAGUCAUUCUUAAAUGCUUCAUAAAGUUUAGAACUCUCACUACAUAGUUGCAAGAGUAAGCCACCAAAUAAAAUAGCAUUUUAUAAACAAUUUAACAUAUGGCGUAAGCUAUGAAAUACAAACCUUCCCAAGACACAAACACAAUGCUACUCUUUGCAGUUCUCCACCAGAAAGGUUCACAACUUCUUGGUCCAUCAAUUGUUCAAUUUGCAAUGGCUUCAUAACAUCAGUCACAAAUUGCGGAUGCAUAUAUGAAUCGCGAAUUUUUUGAUGCAGCAAGUGUCUCACUGUAGAUGGAAACUUUGGACUAAUUUUCUGAGGCUUAUAUGAAACAUUAAAUUCAGGCAUCUCAAAAUCUGAAUCUUCCACAGAAUCAGGCUUCAGCAAUCCUGCCUGAAAUUUGUUGACAAUGUAAACCAAAUAAGCAACAUGAAAUUCAGGUUGCAAAAUUAGUACACAUAGAUAAUUCCCAAGGUAAACAUCAUGCAUGCCAUGACAGAAUGGUGUGAUGCAAAUGUUUCAAUCCAAGAUCAGCAAAUACAAAUUACACCACUAUACAAUUAUUGCCUACAAAAAUAUAGACAGAAGAGAAAUGUAUACAUAUUUAAAUAUCAAACGAAGUAAAACCUGAUAUAAUGUAAACGUGUACAUAUUUAAAUAUCCAUAGGAGUAAAAUUUGAUAGCAAUAAAACUAUAAGUAUGAAAUGAACUGAUAUAAAGUAAACCAAGCUAAACAAAACUCCAUCUGUUUUAAACUAAUACACUAGGAUACUUUGGUAUCAGGACAAAUUAAAUUGGUUAAAUUGAACCUGUACCUUAUUUCUUUUGUUUAAUUACAGAACAGGGAUAUCCGAAAGAAAUUACCAGCAUCCGAAUAAAUGUUGUCUUCCCAGUCCCGUUCUCACCCAGCAUUACAAUAAUCUGAGAAUCUGUAAAUUCACCCUCGAUCACUUUAAGCUUGAAAUUCCCUUGGGUUUUACUCAUGGUAGGAUAUUUAUAUCGUUGGUACGUCUGAAUCUCCUCAGCACUUUCUUGAGGAGUCUCAGCAACCUGGAUGAUGCAACAACAUGUGAAAAAUAAUAAUAGAAUUUUUAUUAGAAGAUAUUCAGAAGAACAUAACAUUCUACCUUAAAUGUAAGUGAUUCAUCUCGAAACCGGAGAUUUUCUGUAGGAACAAAACCAGCCAAAAAAAUGUUGAUUCCUUCUCGUACAGAGAAGGGCAGCGUAACAACUCCAUAAGCUCCUGGCUUUCCAUAGAGACAACAAAUGAAAUCGGACAAGUAGUCCAAUACACUGAGAUCAUGCUCUACAACAAUCACAUAGCUGAGCAAGGAUAAAUAAGAGUAUUCAGCCUUAACCCCUAUGCCGGUAAAAAGAGAAAAACUUAUUGAAUCAGGAGCAGGCUACCUGUUAGGUCUAAGUAGGGAACGGAUAACUUGAGCUGCUUUAAGCCUCUGCUUCACAUCGAGAUAACUUGAUGGCUCAUCAAACAUAUAAAUCUCUGCAUUUUGUAUGGCAACCACAGCGAUAGCAAAUCUUUGCAACUCUCCACCAGACAAGUCCCCCACAUUUCGAUCAAUAACUUGAUUCAAUUCUAGGUCAUUACACAGCUCUGCUUUCAUCUCUCUCUCAUCUUUUUGGUCAAGAACCUGUCCAACAUUACCUUGAACAGCUUUUGGAAUGUGAUCAACAUACUGCGGCUUGAUGAUUGCCUACAAUAUGCUAUAAAACUAUCAGCGACAUGGAAAAAAAGGCAAGAAAUUUUAUCGCAUUGAUCAUCAUAAUAAAGUUAAACCAUUACAGCCAAGCAGUGCCUGAAAUAUUCAGAUGCCUUGAGGCCCAUCAUUUACAAAGAAAACUAAGAAUGAAAAAGAAAUUACAUAAAGCAAUUCGAUUAAGUUUACACUCCUGCUCAUCCCAUAACUAUUACCAGCACUCCUUUUUAUUUGCAUCAUUUGAUGCUUACAUUUAAACCUUCAUCCCAUGCACACCAAGCAAAUUUCAAACGAUCUUUACAAAUCCAAUCAUUUCUCCGUAAAAUCAUAAGAAUGAUUAUUUCCUUUUAUGUCAUGAUAAUCGUUCACUAAUUGCAAAAUAUAUACUUUUGUACAACAAAGGGCUUCUACGAAUCACUUAAGACUUAUUCAAGCAUAUACAAUUAGGUACAAGCAAGAAAAAAAAUGAAAUGACACAAAAAAUUUCAAAACUUCCAUUAUAAACAAAGAGUUGCACCAUGCAGAUACAACUACAAAUGAUAAAUAAUUUCAACAGCUCCCAACAUCUAAUGGAUAUACAUCAGAGAUAGAAGAAACAUGACCCAAUUUAGUUUCUUUAAAAAUAAAAAAAGUAACGAGUUUGUUCUCCAUAUAAUCAUUCUUCUUCCAAUAGUCCAAGAGCAAAAAGACCUCGAAUCAUAUUUAUCAGACAGAUCACUCCUAGUUAGAAAUAAAGUUAAGUACUUCAGUUUAGUCAUAAUCAAAUGUAAAUAGAUGGACACAAUCAUCUGAUAAAGUAUAUCUGACAAGAUGAGGUUAAUAUUGAAAUUCUACUACCAUGACAAAUCUGCAAUUGAAAAAAAAAGGCAAGAAUACUUGAAUUCUGGGAAAAAAAAUAAAACCAUAAAGCAUAUACUAAUUUUAAAAGUACACUUCUAAGCACCUUUAGAUUGUCCUCCAGUAUACGUGUAAAAUAAUUCUGAAGCUCAGAGCCACGGAAAUAUGUUAAAAUCUCCUGCCAAUCAGGAGGAUUCUGCAAAGAGAGAAAAGUUGAGAAACUGCAGGCAUGCAAACAUCAAAAACAACAUGAAAGAAAAAAAAACCUUCAUUAUGUAUUACAUUGAAUCUACCCAAGUUGGGCUUCAACUUCCCAGCCAACACUUUAAGUGCGGUAGACUUUCCAAUACCAUUUGUCCCAACCAAGCCCAGAACUUGUCCAGGUCUUGGAACUGGCAACCUAUAAUAGAAAAAUAUCCAUCAUUGAAAUUCUAGAUCAACAAGUAUCACAAAGAAGCAAAAAACCAAAGUGUCUUCCAUGUUCUGAAAUAUAAUCUUUGCCAACCUGUGCAAUUUAAAUGUAUUUGGUCCAUAACGGUGGGUCGUGUCUUUGUCUAAGUCCUUUGGCAGAUUGAUAAUCUGAAUGGCCUCAAAAGGACAUUUCUACAACCAAAUGACAAAUAGUCACAUUGUUCAGAUAUAGGUUAGGAUGCUCAAAGAUCUAAAAUCAAUAACAAUAACCGAAUGGAAGAAUGAAAGACCUUAACACAGAUACCACAUCCAAUGCAUAACUCCUCAGAUAUGAAAGCAAUCUUUGAGGCAGGAGUUACUUCUAUGCAAAGUUUUCCUGUCAGAAGAAGAAAGAUAGAAAGCAACGUAAUAUAUCUAAGUUAAUGGAAAGGCCUAAAGUCAAUGUCAAUUAAACAAUACAAAGCCAAGUUAAAUAAAAAAAUGGUAAGUUACACAAAGAAAUGAAAUGGCAGGUGCAGCAGCUAAAACUGAACUUUUGAGUUUCAUUUGUUAGAAGACCAACCAAAUAGGUAGUCUGGUAAGAAUGAAGUGGAACUAGAUACCAAUACACUAAGAGAGAUGAAGGGAUCUAAUUUCACAAUGUAAUUACUCAAAACAUUCAAAUUUCAAUUGAAUGGUUUACACAAAAUCAUUGACCACUAUUCAUGUAAUCAGGAAAAAAAGAAGCCAUUGAUCUGUAGCUAAUAAAUUAGAAACUCCCAUCAACAUAUUUCUAUACUACACUGAGAAAGAGAAGAGAAGGACAAUUCUACAAUUUUGAAUAUAUCCAUGAAACUAAAUGUUGAAUUGUACUUACUGAUCUGGCCAGCUUAACUGCAACUUUACCUAUUAAGGCAUGUUAUUAUAAGAUUAACAAAGAAGGCCAGAUAAAUUAUAAACACUUACAACCAACUCAUUGAAUCAAAAGAUUCAUGCAGCAACCUCCCCAAUGCACAAGGCUCUUGCCAAUAAAGAAUCUGGAGAUGGUUAAUGCACGUAGCGUUACUGACAUUGCAAACAUAAAUGGACACACUACCUAUGAUCUUGAUGGCCAAGAUAAAAAAAAAAAAGUGGCCCAGAAAACAAGGCUCCUACGAGAAUCUACAGACAGGCUACCUAUGAUCCUGAUGGACAAGGACGUAAAUGUAGCAGCCUUUCCAAUAUUUCAGGAAUUCAUGGCCAUAUUACCUAUGAUCCUGUCAGCCAAGAUAUAAAAAACGGUAUCCCAGUGCACAAAACUUCUGCAUUGAGAAUACAGAAACACACCAACUAAUAUCUCGAUGGCUAAGAUAACCAGAAGACGUAUCCCAGCUAUAAAAAGAGCGAAGGCAUGCUAAAUUGAACUGCCAAAAACACAAAUAAACAAAGAAAGAACUCUUUUUGAACCAGAACUUUGAUCGGCAACCAUCGAAAAUCAAAGUCCCGAAUUUUAGAAAUAAAUCGCGUUCAAGAAAGGUGGAAGAACGCAACAGAAUACCUGUUUUCACGACGGGGCAACUCUUCUUGCACUCCUGUCGGCACUUCUUUGGUUUGCAUCGAUCAGAGCUAACGAUAGCGAUACGGGUCAACCGAUCGGCCAUGAUGGAGGGGACGUGGCCCUAGCGACGCCUCAAAAAUAAGACCUGAUACAUGCGAGAGGGAAGAAAUUAAAGAAAAAUAGCGAAUCCACAAGCCCUAACGCUACCAAAAACAAUCAUCCGAGUAAGGAAUCGGAGAUGUACCACCACUCGCUGCCGAUGCUCGCCAGCCGAAGUGGUCUAGAACCCUAGCUAGGACUCCGGCCGACGUAUAUAAGGUGGCGGAUCUUGUCGUGGAAGACGGCAAAGAACGGAACUCAAGACACCGAACCCGGUCGGCGACGUGUCGGGUUUCGGAUCGCUACCCGUUUGUAACAAUAACUCACGUUAAACAAACAAACAAAUGAUUAGUUCACGUCCUCUUUAUAAUUUCCCUUUUUAACUUAAUGUAAGAUCUAAAUUUAUUAGUAUUGUGGUCUUGAUGUCGUCGGAAGUCAGACAUAGCUCGAUCUUGACUCGAAAGCAUGGAGUCGUCCAAGCAACCCUCCUAACAAUUAGAUGAGAUGAUUGAUGCGAGGCAUCAAAGAUGACUGUAGAGGAGUCUUUGGCUUCCCGAGGUGGUCUCGAACGGGUCUAAGAUGGGCUCUGGUCUCCUGAGGAUCCUACACGAAGAUCAAUGUCGGGAGAAAUUUUUCGACCUGACCCCUCUAAUGGUCAAGUUAGUAUCGUAGAGUUGUGGGGUGAAAAAGCUUGCGGUGAGUGAGGUUCGACCCUAGGUAAGCAUUAGGGAUCGAUUUUUAUACUUGGGAGGCCUAGGGGACCAUUCGUAACUGUUUUAAUGCCUUCUUCGUGUCGCUUGUCCACGUGUGCGACUAGUUCGAAUGGCCCUUUAUAGCCUAUCGCUUACAGAGGCCAACCAAGAGGAGAGCAAAUCUAAUCAGCCACUCAAAGACACUGCCCCUAGUGGCUAAUAAGAUCAACCCGAAUGGCCUCCCGUGGAUUGUUGUCUGCAAGGGCCAACAAGCUAUUACCUCCCCACAUUGCUAUCGAGUGGGGGGAUGACCUAGCCUUCAUCCUCCACAUCAACUCCUCUAUGGCGGCUAGGUGGCUCAAAGAUGACUUUAGAGGAGUCUUUGGCUUCCCGUGGUCACGAACUGGUCCAAGAUGGGCUCUAGUCUCCUGAGGAUCCUACACGAAGAUCAAUGUCGGGUGAAAUUUUUCGACCUGACUCCUAAUGGUCAAAUUAGUAUCGUAGAGUUAUGGGGUGAAAAAGCUUGCGGUGAGAGAGGUUCGACCCUGAGUAGGUAUCAGGGAUCGAUUUUUAUACUUUGGAGGCCUAGGGGACCAUUCGUAACUGUUUUAAUGCCUUCUUUGUGUCGCUUGUCCACGUGUGCAACUAGUCUGAAUGGCCUUUUACGGCCUAUCGCUUGUAGAGGCCAACCAAGGGGAGAGCAAAUCUAAUCAGCCACUUAGGGACACUGCCCCUAGUGGCCGAUAAGAUCAACCCGAAUGGCCUCCCGUGGAUUGUUGUCUGCAAGGGCCAACAAGCUAUUACCUCCCCACAUUGUUGUCGAGUGGGGGGAUGACCUGGCCUUCAUCCUCCACAUCAACUCCUCUAUGGCGGCUAGUUGGCGGGUCAUGAUUGGUGUGAGAAUAUCCUAUAUCAUCUGUUACCCCCCAGCAAGCGUGCUUUAGGGCUCUUGCAAAGGGGUCUGAGGCACAUCGUUUAGUCUUUUCGUUGAUUGGGAUCUCCUUUCACCGAUUGGGUUCUCUCGAUUUGGAUAUCUCAAGUGCAUUAGGUUUGUGCUUUUGCCGUAGCGGAAAUCUUGGUGCGGGUUAAAUUUCCUGACUCACUCGCCUUAGGCUUCAUCAUCCCGAUGCCUUCGCCAUCGCAUAUAUCUUGGUGUGGGUUGGAUUUUUCGACUCACGCCUUUGGCUCAUUCGGCUCAAAGUCUUUAUCGUAACGAAUAUCUAGGCGUGGGUCAAAAUUUUCAAUUCACAUGCCUCGGGCUCAUUUGGCCUCGAGCCUCCACUAUAGCAAAUAUCUUGGCAUGGGUUGGAUUUCCCAACUCACACACAUCGGGCUUAUUCGGCUCGGAGCCUCCAUCAUAACAAAUACCUUGGCAUAGGUCGGAUUUCCUGACACACGCCUCUAGCUCAUUCGACCCAAAGUCUCCACUAUAGCAAAUACCUUGGCAUGGGUCGGAUUUCUCGACUCACAUGCAUUAGGCACAUUCGGCCCAGUGCCUCCACUCUAGCGGAUACCUUGGCAUGCGUCGGAUUUUUUAACUCAUAUGCCUCGGGCACAAUCGACCCGGUGCCUCCGCCAUAGUGGAUACCUUUGGCAUGGGUCGGAUUUUUGGACUCAUACACCUUCGACUCAUUCAACUCGAAGCCUACGUCAUAGCAGAUAUCUUAGCGUGGAUCGGAUUUCCCGACUCACAUGCCUCUGGCUCAUUCAGCUUGAAGCUUACGUCAUAAUAGAUAUCUUGGCAUGGGUCAGAUUUUCUUACUCACAUGCCUCGGGCUCAUUCGGCUCAAAGUUUCCACCGUAGUGGAUACCUUGGCAUGGGUCGGAUUUCCUGACUCACACACCUUGAGCUCAUUCGGCCUGAAACCUCCAUCGUAGUGGAUAUCUUGGCAUAGGUCGGAUUUUCCGACUCACAUGCCUCGGGCUCAUUCAACCCGGAGCCUCCACCAUAGCGGAUACCUUGGCACAGGUCGAAUUUCUUGACUCACAUUCCUCAAGCCUAUUCGACUCGAAGCCUCUGUUAUAGUUGAUAUCUUGGUAUGGGUUGAAUUUUUUGAUUCAUAUGCCUUGGGCUCAUUCGGCCCGAAGGACUCUACCAUAGCAGAUACUUAGGCAUGGGUCAGAUUUCCCAACUCACACGCCUCGAGCUCAUUCGGCCCAGUGCCUCUGCCAUAGUGGAUACCUUGGCGUGGGUUAGAUUUCUGGACUCACAUGCCUUGGGCUCAUUCGGCUUAGAGCCUCCAUCAUAGUGAAUCUUGGGCUCCUCCUAUGGGAGGCUUUCAUUCCUUCUUUGUCAUAGCGGAUCUCGGGCUCGCGUCGUGGCGAGCCUUUGUCCCUUCUCCAUUAUAGCGGAUCUCAAGCUUUCGUCGUAGCAAGCCUUCGUCCCUUCUUCAUCGUCAUGGAUCUUGGGCUUCCAUCAUAGCGGGCCUUCGUCCCUUCUUCAUCAUAGCGGAUCUUGAACUCCCAUCGUGGCAAACCUUCGUCUCUUCUCCAUCGGAGCGGAUCUCGGGCUCUCGCUAUCACGCCUCUUAAAUCGAUAAUAUUAAAAUUUCAUCAACAAACCAAUCCAGGAUCCAAACUAACAUUUGAGGACAUUGAGAAAUAUUCAGUCAAAAUUCAUAUCCACAAAACCUGUGCAGUUUAUAAUCAUAUACCACAUCACUCGAUAAUUCAUAAUUAUAAAAACCCAAGCCAACUUAACAAAACAUUAACAACACUUAUAAAUCUACAAGCUAAAUAAUUUAUACAAUCAGAACUCCAAACAUUUACCAUAAGUUAAUAUCAUCGUAAACAUUCAAAAUUUUCAAACUUUUACAUGACAUAUCAAUUCAAACAUAUCGACAAAAUUUUCAUUACAUACAAAAUGCACUUAUACAAUAAUAACAUAAUAACCAAUAAGACUUGCCCACAAUUCUCAAUAGCACUCCACUGCCUCAGCCCAAUUCAAACAUCUCAGUGAGUGACAAGCUAACCUGAAAGAUUUUAUAUAACAACGGAGUGAGCUAAAAGGCUCAACAAGUGACAAACAUAUCAAUGGCAAAAAAGGUUAGUUUUAAACAAAUAAGGUAUCAAAAUGCAAAGUAAGAUAUAUGAAUUCAUGGAUAUCAUCUCAUUAGAUACAGAAUCAUAAAUGUCAUUUCAUUCACAAUAUAUUUGGUUCAUAACAAAUGGAGUAAAGAGUAAUUGAAGCAUAUCAAUGAUGUAUGAAAUAUUCUGGAGCAUAUCAACAGUAUAUGAAAUAUUUUGGAGCAUAUCAAUGGCAAAUAAAAUAUUUCAGAGCAUAUCAAUGGCAUAUGAAAUGUUUCGGAGCAUAUCAAUAAUAAAUAAAAUAUUUUGAAGCUUAUUAAUGGCAAAAGAAAUAUUUCAGAGCAUAUCAAUGACGUAUAAAAUAUUUCUAAGCAUAUCAAUAACAAAUGAAACAUUUCAGAGCUUGUCAAUGGUGUAUGAAAUGUUUAAGAGUAUAUCAAUGGAACAAAUACGAAACAGAAGCUCAAACGUCAUAUUUGAUGUUGUAUUCAUUUCAUUCUUAUCCAAAGCGCACAUAGAAGCACAUAACCAAAGCUUUGGAUAUCAUAUCGAAUAUAUAGAAGGUGAAGUGGGACCCCAAAUAUAAUCUAGAGCAUCACGAGCUCUAGGCACGUACCUUUUAUCAUUUUUGGCAAAGGUCCAGAUAAUCCCUUCACUAUUUCUGGUAAAGGUCCAAAUAAUCCCUUUACCAUUUCCAGCAAAGGUCCAAAUAAUACCACAAACACCUAAGUGCAAAAGGACAUUAUGAAUAACAAAAUUGACGCAUAUCGGAAUCACAUACGGAACAACAAAACGUACAUGUGCCUUUAGGAGUCAAUAUAAUGCAAAUAUAAUUUUUCAUAAAUGCCUUCAAAUUUGAAAGGAAAUAAAAUAAGAGCAUAUAAGGAUUUUAGCACAUAUCGGAAGCACAUGCGGAACAACGGAACAUACAUGUGCCCAUACGAAACAAUGUGAUACAACAUAAACUUUAUAUAAUAAGUUUCAAGUAUAUAAAUAAUAUAAGAACAAGAGUAUACAAGAAUUUAAAGCAUUAAUAUAAAUCUCAAUUGAAAAAAAAUACUAGAUGAAAUCAAUUUCCAAAGGGAAUGAAACAAGAAUAAGCAAAAUCGACCAAAGCUCGAUUCUGAUAAAAUUUAAGGCACAUUGUAUAAAUUAUUUGGAUAACCAAUUAUACUCCAAAUUACUUAAGAAUGAUAUCAUUUGAAAGAUAUUUCAAUCUACUUAUAGAUAAAAUAAGUUUCAUAUGAAUCGAAGUUUCUAAUAGAGCGUUACAAAUAAUUUGGUAACCAAAGAUUAUAGAUCAAAAUCUUUAUUUUGUAGAAUUCAUAGGUUUAGAUUCAAUAGAAAACUAAAUAGGAAUUGGUAUUCUAAAUCUUUCAAUCUAGAUAUCAAAAGAAAGAUCUAUAAGUCUAGUUUCCAAUAAAGUAAGUUUUACACAAAUCAGAGUUUCCAACAAUUAAUCAGUUUAAUAUCGAAAGGUCGGAAGUUAUGGUCCCCAUUUUACAGAAUCCAUAUAGUCAAUUGAAACAUAAGUUUGGACAGACAAUUUUACUCCAAAUUCUUCAAAUAAGCUAUCAAAAGAAAGGUUUACGAGUGUUAUUCAGAUCAAAUAAGUUUUGUCCAAAUUGGAAAUCAGUGCAGGGAUUUAUAUCUAAAAUAAAAUGGAAGGGUCAGAAUCUCGAAAGUUUUCGUGAUUUAAAUCGCUACGUCUAAACAAGAGAUAUAUUAGAUACAAUACUAGAACAAUUCAAAUUUUCUCGUAUCCAACACAAAUGUAAAGAUAGAAUUGUAGUAGGAAAGGAUUAGAAUACUUGUAGGAGAAAAGAUUCAAAUACUUGCAAGAUUUCGAUCAAAAGAUUAGGUAUAAGCCCAAAUACUUCUACUUUUCCUACAUCUCCUCUCCCUGUUUCAUUUUCUGCACCUAUCUUAUUUCAUUCUCCACCGCUGCUAACUGAUGCAGAAUGUAGAGACGUAGUCACCUGCUCUCUGCUCUCCCCUCUCCUCCUCCUUCCUUUUCUUCUCUUUCCCAAUCACGGUCGUAGCCGCAGUCACGCUGCAGCCUCUUCCACUGCGCUACUUUAAAUUUCCCUUCUCUCAUUCCUUUUUUUUAUUUCCCAAACACAGCUGCUGUAGGCGCAAUCACAGCCGCAGCUGCAGCCACAACAACUGCAGCCUCUUCUUCCUUCUCUGCUUCUUCCUCUCCUUCUCUUCCAACUGCAGCUACCACCAUCGCAGCUGCAACCCCUUCUUCUUUCUCUCUUCCUUCCCAACUGCAGCCAUCUUCCCCUCUUCCUCUUCUUCCAUCUCUUCUCCCUCUUCUUCUUCUCCUCUUCUUCCCUUCUCCUCCCUGAUGCCCCCACACUUCCUCUCCUCUAUUUCCUCCUGCAGGAAACAGAGGUGGUGCAGCUUUAGCUGCAGCCACCUCCCUCUUCCCUCUCUUCUUCUUCUUCUUCUUCUUUUCUUUGCUUCUCCCUCUUCGUCUCCUUCUCCUCCCUGAUGCACUGCCUCCUCUUCUCUUCCUUUGUUUCCCAUGUGGGAAAGAGAGUGCGUUGGAGGCGACGGGAUAAAACUCUCAUUUUUUUAUUUUUCUUUUUUUUACAAUUUAAUAGUUUAAUCAUUGAGAUUUCUUAUAUUUAUAUAUAGGUCCUUAUAAAAUAAAUUUUUAAAGUGAGGGAUAUUACACUCGCCAUGACAGACCUUCAUCCCUUCUUCGACGUAGCGGAUCUCAGGCUUUCAUCAUAGCGACCCUUCAUCCUUUCUCCACCAUAGUGGAUCUUGGACUCCUAUCAUGGUGGGCCUUUAUCUCUUCUCCGUCAUAGUGGAUCUCAGGCUCUCAUCGUGGCAGUCCCUUCUUCGCCAUAGUGGAUCUUGAGCUUUUCGUCAUAGCGGACCUUCGUCCCUUCUCUGCUAUUAGGGAUCUCGAGCUCCCGUUGUAGCGAGUCUUCACCCUUUCUUUGUUAUAGUAGAUCUUGAGCUCCUAUCGUGGCGAGCCUUCCUUCUCUCCUUUGUGGCAGGUAUGAGUCACUCUUUCGUAGCUGGUCGAGCCAUUCCGUCGUGGCAGGUCGAGUCGUUUUGCCUUAGCAAGCUUUCUUACGUGUUUUGCUAGUUGGCUAGGGGUUCAUGCCAACUUUGCAAUCUUUAAAGCGCUUUGCAUUUAUGGUGAGAUUUGGGUUUUCUCGCUACCGGGGGCUCAUUUGAGGUGUCUCCCAUUAUGGCGGGCUUUGGGCUUUCCGCUAUCGAGAACUUUUCGGGUCCAUUCUAGAGGAGACAAUUAUCUCGAUCAUGGGAGGAGAGAAAUCAUGUGCUUCCCUUUAAAUCCCCUUGUUUACCAAAGGAUAAGUUCAUUCUACACCUUAGCUUUUAGCCUCCAAAUUCUUCGAGACCUCGGAAGCUCCCGUUUGGCCCUUUGUAAUAAUCUUGCAAGGACCAGUUAGUCUUCGUCCUUCAUCCUCAAUGUCAGUCCAACUUUCUUAUUCCAGGUUGAGAUGUCUUUGCUUUCUUGUACUAGCUCUGAGUCUUCUAGUCGAUAGUCCACCGAAGCCCUCGCUUCACCCUCAAGUAGUCCGAGGGCAAAGCAAGUCGACUUAUCCCCUUCGGGGAAUGGGUCUCUUGAGAACCAUAGGGCUCUUCGAGACCUUAAGUCUAUGAAGAGCUUCACUACUAGUCAUAGGUGCCCUGCAAGCAUAUAUUAUUAUUGAUAUUUUUUCACUUUAUAUUAUCUAUUAUAUAUAUUAUGAUGUUCUUGGAUCUGUGCAAUAAGAAUUGAAUCAUAAUGAGAUCAUAAUAAUAAAAUCAAUUUAUAUAUAAACACAAACCAUAUAUAUUCCCGAUCAUAGGAUACUUAAGAGGGACAUCGAAAUAGCCAAAUAGACCAGUAUGCUAUAUACUCAUCCAUAUGAUGGAGGUGGCUAGUCUCAUAGUUGCCUCUAUGGGGACACUAGGGAUAUAAUGCAAGUGCUCAUUAGAGAAUGAGUUCACUGAAUGAUCCGCUCAUUAAAUGUUGGAUGGUUGAUGAUACCUCAUUGUCAGACAACAGUUCCGUAGUCUCAGUUAUGUGUUUGGUUCUUAGACUUGAGACAUUAAAGAUGUAGGAAAAUCUGGGGGGCGACAUCACAUGCACAAUGGAAGAACAUUAAAAAUAAAAUCUCCAAUUUCCCAAAGAUGUGUUCGCCAUCGUGCGAAGAUUGGUGCACAAAAUCCGUGAAACUUAAAACUACGUAUAUAAAAGAUUAUGUUAUAUAGGAAGAUUGUAUAUCCUUGAAUCCCUACAUAUCUCUAGGAGAUGGUGAAGGAGGUCAAGCGUCCUCCUCUCUAGCGGUGAUCCACACAGCAAGGCUGCGACGAUGCUCCUCAAAACUCCAAACCUUCUAUCUGAGGAAGAGAAUGGGAGGAGAAUAGGAGAUGCAACCCAAAAAGCUCUGGCCUAUGAACAAUUAGUUCCCUCCUAUUUAUAGAGGUUCCCUAUCAACUUAACCUUGAUGGAUCAUGUUGUAUUGGGUAUUGGAUCUCCAUCCAAUUACCCAAGCCUCUUAGAUUAGUGGAUCUCUACCCAAUAAUCUCUAAAUGGCUAUUAUUGGAUCUCAUUCAUGGGAUCCAAUAAUUUAAGGGCUUAUUGGAUAUCCAAUAAGAUAGGAGCUCCGAUGGAUAUCUCAUAUCUGAACCUCUACUCGUCGCAAUGUCUACCAUAUGUGUAUGACCCUCUAGACCCAAUAUCGAGCUGGCCAUGAGUCAUACAUAUCAGAACUCCUUCUGACUCAGUGAAUUAUUAUCUCAAUAAUAAUUUUUUUAAAAAAAAUUAAUAUAAUAUUUUAAAAAAAUUAAUAUAAUUAACUUAUAAAAUAUAAUAUUUUUUAAAAAUUAAUAUUUUCGAAAUAUAAUAUUUUCUCAGAACUCCUUCUGGCUCGGUCAUACACAUGAUCGAAAUAUAAUAUUUUUAAAAAAAUUAAUAUAACUAACUUAUAAGAUAAUAUCCUCUGUACUAUUAUAAAAUAUAUAUAUAUAUAUACAUAUAUAUAUAUAUACAUAUAUAUAUAUAUACACAUAUAUAUAUAUACACAUAUAUAUAUAUACACAUAUAUAUAUAUAUACAUAUAUAUAUAUAUGUAUAUAUAUAUNNNNNNNNNNNNNNNNNNNNUAUAUAUAUAUAUAUAUGUAUAUAUAUAUAUAUACAUAUAUAUAUAUACAUAUAUAUAUAUAUAUACAUAUAUAUAUAUAUAUACAUAUAUAUAUAUAUAUGUAUAUAUAUAUAUAUAUAUAUGUAUAUAUAUAUAUAUAUAUAUAUAAUCGUAAGAACGUAAAUCAUUAUAACAAACAUUAAAAACUAAUUCUCACCCCUCUUCCUCUCCGAUCAUCAUCUCAUUCCAUCAUCUUUUUCUUUUCAUCAUUUCACGUCACCUCCAGUAAUUAAGAUGUGGAAAAGGAGAAUUAAAAAGAUAAUAAAAAGGAGUUAUAUGCCAGGAUCAAAAAUAUACUACUAGAACUAAUUAUAAAUUAAAAACAUAUAUGCCUAUUUAUAAAAGGACAACUUAACAAUGUCGAAGUUCUUAACAUGGGAUUAUAAAUAACAAAAAUGAUUUGUAAUCCACUUCUUUUAUACUUGAUGUUCUUUUUGCUUGGAUGAAAAUGUCCUCAUAUUUUUACUUAAAUGAUUUAAUCAUAGAUGUUAUUAAAAAAAAUAUAAUUUAUUUAAAAAUAUAUAUUAAAUUUAUUUUCCAUAAUUACAUUAGAAGUGUGAUUCUGACUUUACAUAUUAUUUAAACCAAUAAAUCCUGGAUUUAGAACCUCGACUAUUGAUAUUUUACUUUAAUUUUUAUAUAUAAUAAUACAUUGAACAUGAAAUUUAGUUAUAUUCAUGUACAUUAUUUAAGGCUAAAUAGAAUUGGAUCAAAGUCAAACUUGGUUCAAGCUUUCGGAUGAACCAAAUCAAUGUCUAUUUCUGGUUAUCUUCCAAACCUUAUUCCAAUUCGAAUCCAAUUAAUCAAAUUGGCCGAGAUUGGAAGGUAAUAAUAUUAUUCAAAUCCAAUUCAAACCCUACUCCACCAAGAACACUAGUUUGCGGGCCCUUAGCAGCCUCCGGUCCGGGAGAGAGCAAGGAUGCAGAGAGCGACGGCGAUCGCGUCCUUCGCCCUGCGGCGUCUCGCGACAGCGGAGACGGCCCGGCCGAUGGUCUUCGCGCGGGCAGCCUCCUUGGCCGGUGCGGCCCUCUCCCGGCGCCUUUGCUCCUCACUCGACCUUCACCGCCCUAUCGCGCGCCUCCUCCCGCCUGUUUACGAGCCCUCACGUGGCUUCGCGCGGGGCCGGGAGGCCAUCCCGAGCGACGUGGAGAAAGAGGAUUCGGACGACGAGGAGGAUUUCAACGAGGACCUGGACGAUCUCGACGAGGACUUUGACAACGAGAACGAUAUCGAUGAGGAUUGGAGCGAGUUCGACGGCAACGAUUCGAGGGAAGAGUCCGAUUGAUUCACGAGUUGAUGGUGUGGUCUCCGGAAAAAUCGGUACGAAUCAUGGCUUUCUCUGUACGGUUAUUGAUCACAAAAAGGAUAAAAUAGGCUCUUUUAGGUUCAUUGAUCGAUAAAUCGAUAGGUUCUGUUUCAUUUAUUGGUAGUUGAAUUGAAAUCUCCGUUUGCAUUUGAUAAACUAUUGGUUCUUCAUCUGAUGGUUCCCCGCUUCUGCGGUCAGUUCUUCCUAAUCUUUUGUCAUCAUAAGGGUACGGUGAGCAAAUCUUUUAUCAUCGCAAAGGAUAUGGUGAGCAAUCGAUCUCUGCAACCACAGAUCAGUACCCAAAAAUUCAUAUUUAAGAGUAGAAUCAAGUUCCUAUCUCACCUGUUGGUCUUUAUCAGACAUGCAACAGUCUAUUUAAGUAUAUCGACUUAAACUAAUACUCUUAUCAUAACCAAUAAAAAUAAAAAUAAAAAACUCAAAGCAAAUCCAUAGCAUUUAUAAACAAUCUCUAACACCAAAUCCAUAGGAUUCGUUGUCUUCGGACCUUAUCAAGGAAAUAUUUAUCUAUAUUUAAUCAUCAACACGUAAGAUGAGAAAUGACAUUGAUUUCUCAUGAUCAUUCAAAAAAGAUUUAAUAUGAGAGACAAAGAUCUUAACAAGAAUAUGAUAAUUGGCAUUACAAAGUUAACCCCCUCCUUGAGUAAGAUCAAAAUAUGAUAAAAACUAACAAAGGUUGAAACCUAGGGAUCCCCCACAAUCUCCCAAUAAUGUUGGUAGAACACUAUUUUCCCAAAGCCUAAGGGCCUAACAAAAUCUCAAAUCUCCUACUUAUUGGAAGGACAAAUAAUAUUAUCAUUUUGAACAUUCAAAAUAACCCCUUCUACCCAUGUCCCUAAUCAAAAAAUUGAGAAAACCAACAAUAAUAGCUCCAUCAUCACUCCACAGGUUAGAAUAAAAACCCAUAAACUCUUUCAUAAUAAGAUUAGGUUCAUAAAAGACAUUCAUAAAUAUUGUGAAUAAGUGUCCUUCUACGCCUAAUCAUAAUCAAGUUGUAAUCGAUCUAUCUGUAUUUAGCCUUAAGGUUAACUUGUCUAAUUAACGCUUAAAACCUUUUGUACAACUUGACCAAAUUAGAAAUAUCAUUUUCGAUGAGGCCGGCAUUGGCAUUCCUAGAACUCUAAUCUAUCUAUCUAUCUAUCUCACCCUUGGUUUUAGAAUACAAAACCAGUUUCAUUUGGACAUAAUACCCUUAAGAGAGCAAAGAUUAUCAAAAAAAAUUAGAAUACAUAACAAAUUGAAGAAAACCUUUAGCAACACUUAAUUAGUUUUUUUGACCUCAACAUAUUCAUUCUAAAAACUUUGGCAUCAGAAUAAUUUUUUCUUAAGAUAUGAUUUUGUCAAAACCUCAAUACAUAUAGGGUAAUGAUGUGAAGAUCCCCUAGGGAGAUAAAAAGUACCUUAGAUCGUCAAAAACACAUAAUUAGCCAAUUAGAAUUAGCAAUAGCUCUAUCGAGCCUCAUCAAAAUUCUAGCUGUAAGGAUUCUUGGAGAAACCUUAGAUCAUUGAUCCCAACCAAAUAGGAAAAUAUUUAAAAAGUACGAAUUGAAGAAGAAUUAUAAAAAUCUUUACCUCCUUUCUUUAUCCUUCCUACUUAAAAUAUAAUUAAAAUCUCCGAUCAAAUACUAAGAGAGAUACGAAAAAUCUAUAGUCAGAAUAAUUUUUGACAGAUAUAUUUGUACUUGCAUAAAUAAAUAAAUAAGUAAAAGUAAAAAAAUCGUAUGUAUUGAGAAUGGAACGAGACAACCUCGUGACUGGUAAAAGGCAAGAAGACAAAUUGCAUGAAAAGAUAAAGAUAAGUCUCUUAGUACAAUGCAGGGUUUGUUGCACCAAAGAGGAUUUAAUGCUGAUCCUACUUGAAUCUUUUGCCAUGCAUCUUUAAAUUUAUAUCUUCUGUUUAUGUGAUGUCUGAACUUGUCAGUAGCGACAGAGUCUUUUUGAAGAUCUGGAGAUUAACAAAAACUAAUUCGGUAGCAAUCAUGAUGUUACUGAGUCCUAAAUUUACAAAGAGGAAAAAACAAAAUGUGGGUGGAUUGAGGAUUUAGAGAUUAUCUUGAGGCAUACGUGCGGAGUUAAUCUUGGAUCUCAAGUUCACUGACUCGUGUUCAUGUUCAAAGCUUCUCACUAGACAUUCAUUUGCAUAUUGUCAAAGAGAAUAGAGAGGUCAAGGGCAAGGUUAUAGGCAUAGUUGCUUUAGAAGCUAUGUGUUCGCAAGUGGAACGAGUUCAAGAACGAUAACUCUACAAGAUGAGCUUUGGAGUUCAAGAACGAGAACUCUUACAAGAACGAAGCUAUGAGAUAACGAAGUACAAACAAGUAAAUCUUGCAAUCGCAUACACGUAGCAUUACCUAAAUAUAUAUAUAUGACUUUGUGGUGCAAAAUCCACAAACCUAAACAUCAUGAAAUCAUAACAAAAUAACUAAUGCUGCAGUGCCCCAACAAAAUUACAGCCUCCAUUUAAUUUAUAGCACCAAAGUGGCCGCUCAAAAGAUAUCUUCUUUGGGACAACCAAGGCAAAAUAUUGCUCAUUACAGAAAACCAGGAGUUUAGCCAUGUCAUAUGAUCAAGUUGGUUGGAGAAAGAACUCGACCAGAUGCUCGCAGCACCGGUGAUGUCUCGAGUUACAAACUAUGAACAUAAAUCACGAAAGAAAACCACUGUUGCCUUAUUGAAUACGCUGCUUAUGCCACAUUUUCUAUCUUCAGGAUCCAAAUAAAGGGGGAAGAUAAAGAGCCAGCGGUAGAGUGCAUCAGGGAAACGUUAGCACGGCAACAGAAGUUUGUGCAUAGACACCAGGAUUCAUGCUUUGCACACACUUGGUUACUUGCCAAAGAAAUGCACACCAAUGUUCACAAAAGCAAACAGACAAUGGCCAUCGUGCACAAGAAUGAUGAUCAAUCAUCGAG
rnacentral:lncRNA from 1 species